rnacentral:rRNA from 1 species
GUCUUUUUGAUCAUAAUUUAAAGUCUAAUCUGCCCACUGAAAAAUUUAAAGGGCCGCAGUAAAUUGACUGUGCAAAGGUAGCAUAAUCAUUAGUUUUUUAAUUAAAAGCUUGUAUGAAUGAUUGGACAAGGUAAAUUCUGUCUCUAAAUAAAAAUUUGAAUUUAAUUUUUAAGUUAAAAAGCUUAAAUAUUAUUAAAAGACGAGAAGACCCUAUAGAUCUUUAUAAUAUUUAUUAUAAUUUUUUUUUAGAAUUUUUAAUAAUAUUUUAAUAAAAAUUAUUUAAUUGGGGUAAUUUAAAGAUUUAAAAAAUUCUUUAUAAAUUUAACAUAGUUUAAUGAAUAUAUGAUCCAAAAAUUUUGAUUAAAAGAUUAAGUUACCUUAGGGAUAACAGCGUAAUUUUUUUAGAGAGUUCAUAUCAAUAAAAAAGUUUGCGACCUCGAUGUUGGAUUAAAAAUUAUCUUAGGUGCAGAAGUUUAAGAUUUUGGUCUGUUCGACCAUUAAAUUUUU